rnacentral:rRNA from 1 species
AACGAACGCUGGCGGCAGGCUUAACACAUGCAAGUCGAGCGCUGUAGCAAUACAGAGCGGCAGACGGGUGAGUAACACGUGGGAAUCUACCCAUCCCUACGGAACAACUCCGGGAAACUGGAGCUAAUACCGUAUACGCCCUUCGGGGGAAAGAUUUAUCGGGGAUGGAUGAGCCCGCGUUGGAUUAGCUAGUUGGUGGGGUAAAGGCCUACCAAGGCGACGAUCCAUAGCUGGUCUGAGAGGAUGAUCAGCCACAUUGGGACUGAGACACGGCCCAAACUCCUACGGGAGGCAGCAGUGGGGAAUAUUGGACAAUGGGCGCAAGCUUGAUCCAGCCAUGCCGCGUGAGUGAUGAAGGCCUUAGGGUUGUAAAGCUCUUUCACCGAUGAAGAUAAUGACGGUAGUCGGAGAAGAAGCCCCGGCUAACUUCGUGCCAGCCGCCGCCGUAAAAC